rnacentral:rRNA from 1 species
AUUGAACGCUGGCGGCAGGCCUAACACAUGCAAGUCGAGCGAGAGGCGGACGGGUGUGUAAUGUCUGGGAAACUGCCUGAUGGAGGGGGAUAACUACUGGAAACGGUAGCUAAUACCGCAUACCAUCAGAUGUGCCCAGAUGGGGUUAGCUAGGAGGUGGGGUAAUGGCUCACCUAGGCGACGAUCCCUAGCUGGUCUGAGAGGAUGACCAGCCACAGUGGAACUGAGACACGGUCCAGACUCCUACGGGAGGCAGCAGUGGGGAAUAUUGCACAAUGGGCGCAAGCCUGAUGCAGCCAGGCCGCGUGUGUGAAGAAGGCCUUCGGGUUGUAAAGCACGUUCAGCGGGGAGGCGUUACCCGCAGAAGAAGCACCGGCUAACUCCGUGCCAGCAGACGCGGUAAUAC